rnacentral:rRNA from 1 species
UACGUAGGGGGCAAGCGUUGUCCGGAAUCAUUGGGCGUAAAGAGCGUGUAGGCGGUCCGUUAAGUCGGCUGUGAAAGUCCAAGGCUCAACCUUGGGAUGCCGGUCGAUACUGCCGGACUAGAGUUCGGAAGAGGCGAGUGGAAUUCCCGGUGUAGCGGUGAAAUGCGCAGAUAUCGGGAGGAACACCUAUGGCGAAGGCAGCUCGCUGGGACGUUACUGACGCUGAGGCGCGAUAGCAUGGGGAGCAAACAGG